rnacentral:lncRNA from 1 species
GCAUGUACAAACUGGCGAGGUUGCAGAAGAAGACAGACUGGCAGCACAUGGAAGAGGAAGGAAGGCGUACACUCGUGGAAGGCGGUAAGUUGAAAAUAAACCACUGCACAGAAACGUUAAUGUCAACUUAUUAUCUGUCAGCUUUAUGAUUUUGAGCGAUUAAUUUCGUUGCCGAAUGUUUUCGUAGUUACGGUGAACAGAUGUCCUCUUUUGGCCGGACAUGUCUUCUUUUUGAGACCUAUAAAUAUGGCCAGGCGGAAUUUCAAAAUCCGGGAUUUUGUUUGGUUACAGGCUGCCAGUCCGACAUUGACGUGUAAUUGUGUCAGCAUUUCCAUUUUUUAUGAAACGUCCCUGCACUGUAACGGUUUUUUUCCUUUGUCGGGGUGGCGGCACCCAUUUUCUUCAACAUUCCGCCAUUCUGACACACAAGAAAUUCAUGACGAAGUUUGUUGGGUCACUCACCUUACUUAGUUUGGAUUAUUCUGCAAUGGAAAUAAACAGUGCAUUUCCAAGUGAAGAUGUGGAUUUAAGUAAGACUCUACCUGACACAAUUCAGCAAAAUUUAGCUACAGCUUUAUUCAAACUUGAGCAUUUUGCUCAUGUGCCAGCCACAAAAAUGGAUGAGUUUCUCAUGGAACUACCCUUUUUAUUAAGCUGAGGUGAAUUACUGCCCCUCCUACCCAUCAGGUGAAUCAGCUGAGACGCUUGAAAAGAUAAGGGAGACUCUUAUGUUGGAAGCUAUACGAAAAGGAACAAUGAGGACACAGUGGCAGCAAUGAUGACCAAGACCUUUGCUCAUAGAAGGCAAGAAGUUAUUCAAGAUGCACCCAUGAUUGCAGUUUUUAAAACCAGAUGGCCAGCUCUCUUCCGUGUGCAUGAGGUAAAUGAUUAGAGUUGUUCAAUUCAAAAACAGUUUGGAAUUAUUUUUUUGUGGUGAUUUCUUUGCUCUUGUAUCAUAUUGUUUCAAGCGUUUUUUUCACCUUUGCCACAAGACAUAAUUUAUAAGUAUUGUGCUUCUGUGGAUUAGCAAUGCAGCUAAUGUGUAGCACCCAAAAAAAUGUUUCCAAACUAUUUUUUCCAAGAUUUGGUGGGAAACUAUAAUUGUUAAAUUAACGCAUUGAUAUUUCUCUGUACCCAUUAUCAAGUUAUGUGCUGAGUUCAGGAGGUUGGUUUGCUGCCAAAGUUCUUUUCCGAGCUGGAUGGUUACUCAUCAAAACUGCUCCAGGUCUUUGGCAAGAAGGGUGGUGCUCAGGGAAGAAAGAUAAAAAGUAUCCUGAUACCAAUGACACAGGUAAAACAAAGGGGACACACUGCCAAACACAUCACUGUAAUGUUGACAUUUUAAAAGGAAAUAUAAUGGGGAGAAGAGUAGAAGUAACGUCACAUCACAUUUAGUCUCCCUGUUGUUUAAAAUUGUUCUUCUCAUGUUUUUGUUUCCUGGCAUACAUCGUGCGGGCCAAAUGCUCAGACUGACAGCAUUGAUGUGAAAAGAGGUCUACCUGAAUGAAGAGCCGGACAAAGUGGUGAAAGAACGCCUGGUAUGUAAUUUACCUUUAAUUAUCUAGAUCUCAUAGAUCACACAUUAUGUGGAUUAAAUGGCUGCUUUGUAUUAGUAAUGUGCCCCAUUUUUUAAUCUGUAUGAUAUUGUUGUGUUCAUU